CAUAUCGUAUUCCAAUCUUUCUUUUUCACUAUGAGCCAUGUUGUCCAACUUCAAAAAACUACCGAACUACCGAGAUCGAACCCCACUAAAUCUUAAUACUUUGAUCCAUCCACGAGUCGAUCGACAAAAAAAUAAUAAUGACCCUAAUUUCUGAUUACGUACGUUAUUAUUUUGUUUACAUAUCUUUGAACCGAUUUAUAUGUUCGAGAUGUGAUGACUCUCAAACGCUUUGAUAUAAGCAAGUAAUAUACGUACACCUUGUAGGGUGUUAAUUAGAUUGUGAUUUGCCGAAAGGUGAUUGCGGCUUUUUAUAUACGUAAACCCGCCUUAUCGCAUGAGAUAUUGUUACUCGUAAUCGAUAUCAAAGUAAUUUAUUCGCACUUUAAUUGUUUAUCAACUGAUUUUGUACUGACGAUUGAAGCACUGAAGACCACUUACCUGGGCAGAAUCAUCCCAGCAUCAACUAGAUAAAUUCUCUCGAGAAAAAUAUCUGAUCGAGGCAGGAAUCGAACCCACGGUCUUCCAAUCGGGCGUACUACCACCGUGGCCAAUUCCACAACAGGUAAUAUGUAUUAUAAUCAUCCAGUCUUCCAGUCCACUUUUUAAGCUUACCGAUACAAUAUUGGUGCAUUCUUCAUAAUUUAUCAAUCAUGUCAGGCUAGGCACUAAGACAGAUUGACUUAAAAGGGAGAAAAUGGGAAUCUGAUUCAGCAAAAAGAAAAAAAAAUUAUCGAUUGAAGGAAAGUGAGAAAAUAGCCACUAAGUCAGUGACUUUGACUAGGGUUUUAAUGCGGCGACCAAGACAUCGUGUUUUUUUUAUUAAUUUUGAGUCGGGUUUUUUUAUUUUUUAUGUCGUUGUUUAAUGUUUCAAAAAAGU